rnacentral:rRNA from 1 species
GACGAACGCUGGCGGCGUGCUUAACACAUGCAAGUCGAGCGGAGCGGCGAACGGGUGAGUAACGCGUGAGUAACUGCCCCCCUCCCUGGGAUAACAGUUGGAAACGGCUGCUAAUACCGGAUAGUGGGGGCUGACUCGCGGCCUAUCGGCUUGUUGGUGGGGUAGGGGCCUACCAAGGCGACGACGGGAAGCCGGCCUGAGAGGGCGACCGGCCACAAUGGGCUUAGUGAGGGCCCAAACUCCUACGUGAGGUAGCAGUGGGGAAUAUUGCGCAAUGGGGGAAACCCUGAUGCAGCAACGCCGCGUGCGGGAUGACGGCCUUCGGGUUGUAAACCGCGUUCAGCCAUGACGCGGUAGUGGCAGAAGAAGCACCGGCUAACUACGUGCCAGCAGCCGCGGUAAUAC